rnacentral:lncRNA from 1 species
ACUCAGACCACAUAAAGUGACUUGUUUUAUUUUAUGGCUGCAUUGAUAUAAAUGUGUGUUAACCCAAAGAAAGCAUUUAUAGUUAUUCCAUCUCUGUACAGGUGAAUGAAGUUCUAAUUCAAGGAAUCUUUGAUAAUUCAACAAAUUUCCUUGAGAUUCAAAAAUCAAAGCUUUCACUCUCUAUUCUGAGUUUAUUUGAAACUACUGAAUUAUAAUGAGGUCAGAGCUACUUAACACAGGUUUUCAUACAACAAAAGAAGCAUUAAACAUCAAUAUAGUGACAAGAGUUGCAACUGAAAAGACAAAUUACCAGCCUGUUGAGACUAUCUGCCACCAUCAAUCCUCAGCUGGGAGAAAACUCCACUUGCUGUUGUGUCAGAACCAUCAUCCCUCACCAUAGGCACAUCAUCUUUCUCAAUUGGCAAGUUAUUUGAAGGCAAACGCUGAAAUGGACGUGAGGACAUGUUCAGAGAAGCAUCUAUUGUGCUGUCCUCGUGUGGCUCUCUCCGCACUGCAGUUUGCUCUAGUUGCAAUGUGUAUUCCAAGUCCCAGCAGAUAUCAAGCAUUGUAGGCCUGUCGACUCCAUUUGGCUUCAGACACUUCUCAACCAUUUCACUGAACUUUCUCAAUGAAUUAGGAUUAAUCUGGCCAGCCACUGAGGGAUCGAUAAUCUUUUCAAGUUCCCCUUUCUUUAACCAAAACAGUCCCCAUUCAGCUAAAUUUAUCUCCUCCUUCCUAUUUGAGCUAAUUAUAGCUGGUCUAGCACAAAGCACUUCAAGGAGUACCACGCCAAAAGAAUAAACAUCAGAUUUUUCUGUAAACUGAAGGCAUCUAAAAUACUCAGGAUCAAGAUAACCGAAGCUUCCUUUUAUUCCUGUGCUGAACUCAUCUGGACCAGGGAGACCUGAUUUGGAAAGGCCAAAAUCUGCAACUUUUGCCACAUAUUGUUCAUCAAGCAAGAUGUUUGUGGACUUAACAUCACGGUGAAUGAUUCCUCCUUGUGAACCGGUGUGGAGGUAAUGAAGACCCUUUGCUGCACCCAUACAAAUUUCAAGUCUUUGCUUCCAAGUCAAUAAAGAUAAUGCAGAUGAUCUCUCUGGAUUCCCACUCAAGUUGUAAAGAUGAUCUCUUAGAGUCCCCUUCUCCAUGAACUCAUAAACCAGUACCAUCUCAGACCCUUCAUCACAAUAGCCAAUCAGAGAAACAAGAUGGCGAUGUCGAAUCUUGGAUAGAACCAUGACCUCAGUUUGGAAUUCUGGAAGGCCCUGGCCAUGUUUUGACUCGCUUCUUUUGACUGCCACUUUGAGACCAUUCCGAAGAGUUCCUUUAUAAACUUUACCGAAGCCUCCCUCUCCAACCAGCAAUUUAGCCUCAAAGUUACUGGUUGCCUCUAUUAUUUCAGCAAAAGGCAUCUUUAGUUUGAGGUUUAAGUUCGGAACAGGAGGGGGAUUGACAGAUUUGGUGCUUAUUCCAACGUAAAGGCUCGCUCCUCCAAAAGGAAGGGUACCAUAUGAAGCCAUGGUUUCAAAAGGCUUUCUUUUUAUGCGUUUCUUACACAACAAGAAUACCACUAUCAAACUACAGAUAACAAAAACCCCAACAACUGAACCAGUUAUGAUAAACAGUACAGGCUUCUUUUUUGGCUCACUUCCCCCUAGUUCCAAGCCUGGUUCUGUGAUGAACUCCAUUAUUUCGAGCCCGUUCAGGUAGGCAAUUUUUUCUAAGGAUCCGUCCAAAGUGACAACACUGAUACUAAUAAAGUCAGAAUCACCUGAGUCAACCACAAAAUCAUAGUAGAAUGGAACUGCUGUCUGAACAGUAUACUCGUAAGGAUUGAUAUUUUGACUGAACCUACCGUAUAUAAAGAGAUUGAAAUUGAAAACGUUAGGUGAUGGACUAAUAAUGUCACAGAAAUGGACCCGAACAAGAUGCCGAGCAUUCUUGCUGACGUUGAAAUGCCAAGUAAUGUUGGCAGAAUUUGAUGUCUGGUUAUUAGUUAGGUCCACUUCUUUGCAAGUUUUGUAGACAAGAUCGGGGACAAAGUUUUGGAAGGCUCCUAUAUUAUCAUCAUAGUUUAGUCUACCAGAAAAAUAGCUACAAUUUUUUGCCAAAUUUCCAACAAAUAUAUAGUCAUCAUCAGCAACCCAUUCUGAUGCUAUUGCGGUUGGGUCGUUAAGGGGUCGACCCCCAACAUUAACUCUCUGAACUGUUCUAAGCACCUGAGAGGGCAAACCUAGGUAAUUACCCGGACUUCCUGCCGUAGUCACAAGAGUUCGGUCAUCCACAAGAUCUGGAAUAAGAAAAACUUCUAUAGCAUUCACAAAAGCAAAAGAUGUUUGUUGUGCCGGGAUGAAGUGAAUUCUAAAGCUGGUUGAAUUGAUAGGCACCCAGAAAUCCUUAAUCACAGGGAAAGAACUAUUUCUGACACUGAAAUUCGAUACUAGAGACUUACGGGAAGCUGAAACAUUGAAUAAAGCAUCCACCAGAUUAACCUGGCCUGACAUGAAAGGAAAGAAAUGAAGGCGUACCACGUGUAGGCCUGUCUUAGUGAUGUUGAGAUUAUAAGAAAAUGGGCUUGUAUGAAACCUUGCUGUUUGGUAGAGAGAUAAGCCGACUGACUGGCUGGUAUCUUCGACAGGUUUGCCUUUUUCAACGCGGAAGGAGUUGGGAUUCUUGUCACCAACGAAGUUCCUGCUGCCUAGUUUCACAGAAGAAGACGACCCGCAGUUUAUGAAGUAUUUAUCUGGAAAAACGUAAGGUUCUGAGAGAAUCAGAUCAGGAUAGAAUUGGAGAAGAAACGAAGGCAAGAGAACGUUAAGGAAGAGCAGUUUUUCCAUUGGAACGGCCUUCCUCUUUUUCCUGUUUUUUUCCCUUGUCUAGUGGAAGUAAUUAAGUAUAUAUCUCAGCACUAAGGAGUAAGGACCAGUUUUAAUGAAUGAUAAUAAUGAGCAAGGAAGGUGCAGAUGGAAAGGGAAGACUUUGGUUGACCUGAUAAUCAAGUGUGGAUGUAUUCUGCUUGAGAAAAAUAAUUGAGCUCCUCUGAUGUUGCCAAGCAGAAUAGUUUCUAAAAGGCAAUAUCUAUUUCUUGGCAUGUCAAUUCUGAUCACGGCAUUUACUCCUAUUUGUUUCCCCUUUUGUCCCAGAACCAACGUUUCUGACUUUUCUUAGUUCAGCGACAGUUACUUGGUUAACCAUGAACUUCUUUGAUAAUCAUGUGUUAGAAAUUAUGUGCAAACAAGUAAAAAUGAGUCAGUCAAGUCAAAGAUGCAUCUGUCUUAAAAGUUCAAGCAGGGGACUCUAUGCUAGACUCUGGGCUGAUGCAGAAGAGCCCAAAAGCAGCAGCCCAGAACUUAUUAUCCUUCUAGAAAGUAGACAAACCCAAAAAAAUACAAAGGCAAGUUGUGCGGUUUGAACAACGCCGGAGAGCUCCAAAUCCGGUCCUCAAGCCUCGCCGUCGCCUCCGCCAUCAGGUGGUGGGUGGAGAAAAUUUAGAGACAGUAGGAGAGAGGCAGGAAUGGGAAGAGAGAGGAAACAAGAAGGAGGAAGAGAAGAAGAAAUAUUUAUAAGGCUUUGGUUGUAAUUUUUUAAAAGAGUUAGGGCAUUUUAAUCUUAAAAAUUUUAUAUGCUAUUCUAUCAGCGAUUCCCCAUCCUUAGGAAUAAAAAACGGAAGCAAUAAGAGGAAAAAUGGCUGUAGAUAGGAAGCUGCAGACGGAAAGGAAAGAAUCUGGUUGAUCCGAUAUUCAAAAUGAACGGAAGUAAGCUAUAAGUCUUCAAAGAAGGUGAAAUGGUUAUGGAAACUUUGAAAUCAUUUUAAAUUUAUUUUUGUCGAAUACACAACUUAUUUUGAUAAAAACACCAUAAUUUUGAAUUAUUUGAAUUUUAGUGAAUUUUCUUACAAAUAAAUAUUUUUGACAAAUUCAAAGUAGCUAAUGGUUAUGAAAUUUUGAAAUUUCAAAAUUUUUGAAAAUUUAUUUUUAGUUAUUUUAAAAAAAUAUUUUUGACGAAUAUACAAUCUAUUUUGAUAGAAACUUCAUAAAUAUUUAAAUUUUAAUGAAGUCUUGUAUGAUAAAAUAUUUUUCAUAAAUUAUCUUUGAAUUGAUACAUUUAGAAAAUUUUGUUAAAAAUCUUCAAAAACUAAAUUUUAAUUUAGUAGUUGGAGUAUUUUCAUCAAAUCUCAUAUUUGUUACAAAAUUUGUAUCUCACUCUAUAAUGUUAUAAUUUUUGAAUAUUUUUAUGUUUUGUAAACUAUCAAAAAAAUCAUUUUAAUUUUAGAAAAUAUAUCAAAAUUAAUUUCGAUUAAUGAAAGAGGUUGCUAUAUCCUAUAUGUCUUAGAAUCAUUAGCUGGGAUUCGUAGUUUGUUUUGAUAAUUUGAUAGUGUUGGUUUUUAAUUUUGAAUAUUUCGGAUUAAUAAGCUUGAAGAGAAUUUUAAUGCUUUAGUCUUUGAUUUUUUAUUUUAACAAAUCAAAUAAGUGAUUUGAUAUCCAUCGCUGUUUUCACUUUUGAAAAAUUAACCUUAACGUGAAAUUGAAUAUAGUGGCUUUUGUGAUAUUUUUCUGUACAACCACCGACUGUCUUUCAUAUGCUUUUGACCCAUGUCACUUGAGUUAAUUAUGAUUUUGGUUUCAAUUUUGACUUAUGUCAUAGUGGUUAAGUAUGACCCUAGCAUAUUACAAGAAAUUACUAAAAUUGAUAAUAUUUGCAAAAUUAUGUAAAUUAUGAAGUGGAAUUAUAUUUACUUUUGUUAUUUGAAAAUAUAAUUUUGGAGAAAAUAUGUUUAUGAAUGAUAUUAACCAAAUUUUGUUUUGAUAUUUUUAUGAUUAUUGAUAAUUUUGGCCUAAAUGUUGUGAAGCAUGUUGUUGGUUACUUGCUGAGUGAUUGUACUCAUUACUUUUAUUUACAGAUUUCAGUAUUUUUCCAUCAUUGGAGAACUAGAUUUGUUUGGCAAGAUUUUGAUUAAUAAGAUUAACAUAUGCCUAUUUAUUUUGUAUAAGCUUCGAUGUGAGUAUUCGGUUUUAGUUUGUAAAGAAAUGUUAACUAAACGGAAUGCUAACAAAAUGAAAAUUUUGUAUUAUAUUGGAGACUUAAAAUUUUGUAAAUUGUAAAGAUACUUUUAGAAAUAUUAUAAAAGGAAUUCAAACCCUAUUCUUUCAAGUAAGAGAAUUAUAUACCAACUAAUAAGUUAAAAACUCAGGUGUUACAUUUGGUUUAGUAUGAUAUCUAUUGUCUUGCUUGCUUAUGGGAUUUGUCUUAUGAAUAUGUGACGUUGUUAUACUCUAAAAUUUUAGGUUUGAAGUGUGACAAUUUAGGUAUUAGAACUUAAGCUAAUGAUUCUGUGUAUUUCAAGUUUUUAUUUUAAUUGAUACUUAAUUAAUGGCUUUGGAAAUUAGUGAUGAAAAAAAAUAGUUUAUUUCGACAAAUAAUAAUGUUAUAUUUAUAAAUUGAAAUGAUUUUGGUAUAAAUUUUGAUAAAUUAAAUAUAUUAAACUCAAGUUAUUGUAAAGAAUGAUUUUGAUCUUUGAAAAUUUUAUGAAAUUAAAGGUAAAUUUUUUAUUUAUCGAGAUUUUUAGAAUACUUUUAUGAAUGUUAAGUGAAUUUUUUAUAAUGAUUUAAAUUACAUCAAAAUUGCCUGGAGAUGAUAUUUUAAACCCAACCCCUCCACUUCAUUGACUUAAUUCCCUGGUGAAAUAGACCCCAUCCCAGAUAUUUUAAUUCUUUGGGAACAAGGGAGCGAGAUUAGGGAUUGUAAAACCAGUUUCCCAAAGUUACUUUUUCCAUAAAAAUCAAAGUAAGAAUAAAGAUUGUUUAUUCCUCGGCAAUUUCUCUCUCUCAUUACUUUCUCGUUUCUGAAAUCUGUGCGUAAGAGAUCAUUAAGAAAUUAUAAAAGUGAAUGAUGGCUAUGUGAAUAAAAGAUUGUUCAUUGGAAGUUGUCUAUUUUUAAACGUACAUGAUGCUUACAGAAGCAAAAGGACUUCUUUUGCUUAAAUUUUGUCCAUUGAAGGAAAUCAGAUAAUACAACAAAUUAAAGUCAAGAAAAAAAAAGAAAAAAAAGGACAGCUUCUUGCAGCUCUGUUCCAUGGUUGAUGCCACCGGGAUGCCCCAGAACUCAGACCACAUAAAGUGACUUGAUUCAUUAUGGCUGCAUUGAUAUAAAUGUGUGUUAACCCAAAGAAAGCAUUUAUAGUUAUUCCAUCUCUGCAUAGGUGAAUGAAGUUCUAAUUCAAGGAAUCUUUAUUGAUAAUUCAAUAAAUUUCUUUGAGAUUCAAAAAUCAAAGCUUUUACUCUCUAUUAUGAUUUUUAUUUCGAUUCUAAUCUAUGUCGUAGUGGUUAAGUAUGAUCCUAGCAUAUUACAAGAAAUCAUUAAAAUUAGUAAUAUUUGUGAAAUUAUGUUAAUUAUAUUAUAUAAAGUGGAAUUAUAUUUACUUUUGUUAUCUAUAAAUAUAAUUUUGGAGAAAAUAUGUUUAUGAAUGAUAUUACCUAAAUUUUGUUUUGAUAUCUUUAUGAUUAUUGAUAAUUUUGACUUAAAUGUUGUGAAGUAUGUUGUUGGUUACUUGUUAAGUGGUUGUACUCAUUACUUUUAUUUACAAAUUUCAAUAUUUUUGCAUCAUUGGAGAACUAGAUUUGUUUGGCAAGAUUUUGAUUAACAAGAUUAGCAUAUGCCUAUUUAUUUUGUAUAAGCUUUGAUGUAAGUAUUCGGUUUUAGUUUGUAAAGAAAUGUUAACUAAACGGAUAUUCCAUCUCUGUACAGGUGAAUGAAGUUCUAAUUCAAGGAAAUUUAUUGAUAAUUCAACAAAUUUCCUUGAGAUUCAAAAAUCAAAGCUUUCACUCUCUAUUCUGAUUUUAUUCGAAACUACUUGAAUUAUAACGAGGUCAGAGCUACUUAACACAGGCUUUCAUACAACAAAAGAUGCAUUAAACAUAAAUAUAGUGAUAAGCGUUGUAACUGAAAAGACAAAUUACCAGCCAGUUGAGACUAUCUACCACCAUCGAUCCUCAGCUGGGAGAAAACUCCACUAGCUGUUGUGUCAGAACCAUCAUCCCUCACCAUAGGCACAUCAUCUUUCUCAAUUGGCAAGUUAUUUGAAGGCAAACGCUGAAAUGGACGUGAGGACAUGUUCAGAGAAGCAUCUAUUG